rnacentral:rRNA from 1 species
UACGUAGGGUGCGAGCGUUAAUCGGAAUUACUGGGCGUAAAGCGUGCGCAGGCGGUUUUGUAAGCCAGAUGUGAAAUCCCCGGGCUUAACCUGGGAAUGGCAUUUGGGACUGCAAGGCUUGAGUGCGGCAGAGGAGACUGGAAUUCCUGGUGUAGCAGUGAAAUGCGUAGAUAUCAGGAGGAACACCGAUGGCGAAGGCGGCUCUCUGGUACGUGACUGACGCUGAGACGCGAAAGCGUGGGGAGCAAACAGG